AGUGUUUUUACAAGAAGAGGGGGUCAUACUUUGCACCUGAAGUGUUCUGGGGCUUUGACUUUAACUAAAGUGUAAGUAAGAUAACAGCACAUCACCCUUACCCAGGCAUACAACGGGGCGAUACGCUGCUAUUAUCUCUUGCGGAUGCAAAAGCCUGGGCAGGAGCUCCUCUUCCCUGUCCACCUGCCUCAAAACACACAGCAACAGCACUUUCGACAUGAUCAAUCUGUUAAACUGAUGCACAAAUGAUGUGCCAGGGGGAAUGGCACCAACAGUGCUUUUUAUUUUUACACCACUGACCAGAAGGAAGCUUCCCAGAGGGGGAUGCUGUGUUAUCCAAGCAGCAUUGC